rnacentral:rRNA from 1 species
UAGCCAUAUGCUUGUCUCAAAGAUUAAGCCAUGCACGUCUAAGUAUAAGUGAUAAAUAACACACGAAACUGCGAACGGCUCAAUAAAACGGUUAUAAUCUACUCGACAAAGACUCCUUACUCGGAUAACCGUAGUAACUCCAGGGCUAAUACGUGCACGAUACCUUAUUUUUAAUUAAAUUUGGUGCGUUUGCUUAGCCAAAAGCCGACCAAUUUCUUUCGGGAAAUUGAAAAACUCGGUGAUACGGAGCAACCUUGCUGAUCGCAUAGCCUUUGAG